rnacentral:rRNA from 1 species
GUUGUAUGGUUAAGUGACUAAGCGUACACGGUGGAUGCCUUGGCAGUCAGAGGCGAUGAAAGACGUAGUAACUUGCGAUAAGCCCAGAUUAGGUAGUAACAACCAUUUGAGUCUGGGAUUUCUGAAUGGGGAAACCCACGUGCAUAAGCACGUAUCCUUACCUGAAUACAUAGGGUAAGGAGGCGAAC